GAGUUUGAUCCUGGCUCAGGACGAACGCUGGCGGUGUGCUUCACACAUGCAAGUCGAACGGGGUAGCAAUACCCAGUGGCGGACGGGUGAGUAACACGUGGGAAUCUACCAUUAGAUGGGGAAUAACAGGCCGAAAGGACUGCUAAUGCCGCAUAUGUAGGCAUCUCGACAGAGGUGUUUAUGAAAGGAGUAAUCCGUCUGACGAUGAGCCCGCGUCCGAUUAGCUAGUUGGUAGGUAAAGCCUACCAAGGCGACGAUCGGUAGGUGGUCUGAGAGGAUGAUCACCCACAAUGGGACUGAGACACGGCCCAUACUCCUACGGGAGGCAGCAGUGGGGAAUUUUACGCAAUGGGGAACCCUGACGUAGCGACACCGCGUGAGCGAAGAAGCCCUUU
rnacentral:rRNA from 1 species